rnacentral:rRNA from 1 species
CCUACGGGGGGCAGCAGUAGGGAAUUUUUCACAAUGGGCGAAAGCCUGAUGGAGCAACACCGCGUGCAGGAUGAAGGCCUUCGGGUUGUAAACUGCUUUUAUAAGCGAGAAAUAUGAUGGUAACUUAUGAAUAAGGAUCGGCUAACUACGUGCCAGCAGCCGCGGUCAUACGUAGGAUCCGAGCAUUAUCCGGAGUGACUGGGUGUAAAGAGUUGCGUAGGUGGCAUAAGAAGUAGCUAGUGAAAUCUGGUGGCUCAACCAUUCAGACUAUUAGCUAAACUGUUAAGCUCGAGACCGUUAGGGGUAACUGGAAUUUCUAGUGUAGGAGUGAAAUCCGUAGAUAUUAGAAGGAACACCAAUAGCGUAGGCAGGUUGCUGGGACGGUUCUGACACUAAGGCACGAAAGCGUAGGGAGCAAACGGGAUUAGAUACCCCGGUAGUC